GCCAGCUGGCAGAGUGGUCUAAUGCGAUAGAUUGGGAAUCUAUCUCCUUCAAGAGCGUCUGUUCGAACCAGGCCUAACG